AGCGAACGCUGGCGGCAGGCUUAACACAUGCAAGUCGAACGGGCUUCUUCGGAAGUCAGUGGCAGACGGGUGAGUAACACGUGGGAACGUGCCCUUCGGUUCGGAAUAACUCAGGGAAACUUGAGCUAAUACCGGAUACGCCCUUUUGGGGAAAGGUUGACUGCCGAAGGAUCGGCCCGCGUCUGAUUAGCUUGUUGGUGGGGUAACGGCCUACCAAGGCGACGAUCAGUAGCUGGUCUGAGAGGAUGAUCAGCCACACUGGGACUGAGACACGGCCCAGACUCCUAUGGGAGGCAGCAGUGGGGAAUAUUGGACAAUGGGCGCAAGCCUGAUCCAGCCAUGCCGCGUGAGUGAUGAAGGCCUUAGGGUUGUAAAGCUCUUUUGUCCGGGACGAUAAUGACGGUACCGGAAGAAUAAGCCCCGGCUAACUUCGUG
rnacentral:rRNA from 1 species